rnacentral:rRNA from 1 species
UACAUGGGGUGCAAACGUUGUUCGGAAUUAUUGGGCGUAAAGCGCGCGUAGGCGGUUAUCUAAGUCGGAUGUGAAAGCCCUCGGCUUAACUGAGGAAGUGCAUCCGAAACUGGAUAGCUAGAGUACGAAAGAGGGUCGCGGAAUUCCCGGUGUAGAGGUGAAAUUCGUAGAUAUCGGGAGGAACACCGGUGGCGAAGGCGGCGACCUGGGUCGAGACUGACGCUGAGGCGCGAAAGCGUGGGGAGCAAACAGG